rnacentral:lncRNA from 1 species
AUGGCUCCAUCUGAGGAUUCAGAAACAAGGAGAGGAGGCAGACUUCAAGUGGAAGAGACGGCCGGUCCCUGGUGGCAAACUGAAGGAAAAAUAAGCCGCAUCUGCCCGGCUUCGCCUUGCUGGGACCAGCGGGUCAAAAUCCCCCUAUGCCGUGCCGGCCCGGUGAAGGAGCUCUCGAGGAAUGAGACGCUGACGGGCCGAAGGCAGCCCAAAAGCCGCCGAACCUCUUUGCUGGGAGGAGGCGGCGGACGCGUGGGAGGCGAAACCCGGCGGAGCGCUGCUGCCCGUGCCCGGGGCCGUGCCCGCUGUCGNGUACGUCCCCCUAUGGAUA